rnacentral:snRNA from 1 species
AUACUUACCUGGCAGGGGAGAUACCAUGAUCACGAAGGUGGUUUUCCCAGGGCGAGGCUUAUCCAUUGCACUCUGGAUGUGCUGACCCCUGCGAUUUCCCCAAAUGUGGGAAACUCGACUGCAUAAUUUGUGGUAGUGGGGGACUGCGUUCGCGCUCUCCAA